AGCAGCCGCGGUAAUUCCAGCUCCAAUAGCGUAUAUUAAAGUUGUUGUGGUUAAAAAGCUCGUAGUUGAACCUUGGGCCUGGCUGGCCGGUCCGCCUCACCGCGUGUACUGGUCCGGCCGGGCCUUUCCCUCUGUGGAACCCCCAUGCCCUUCACUGGGUGUGGUGGGGAAACAGGACUUUUACUGUGAAAAAAUUAGAGUGCUCCAGGCAGGCCUAUGCUCGAAUACAUUAGCAUGGAAUAAUAGAAUAGGACGUGUGGUUCUAUUUUGUUGGUUUCUAGGACCGCCGUAAUGAUUAAUAGGGACAGUCGGGGGCAUCAGUAUUCAAUUGUCAGAGGUGAAAUUCUUGGAUUUAUUGAAGACUAACUACUGCGAAAGCAUUUGCCAAGGAUGUUUUCAUUAAUCAGGAACGAAAGUUAGGGGAUCGAAGACGAUCAGAUACCGUCGUAGUCUUAACCAUAAACUAUGCCGACUAGGGAUCGGACGG
rnacentral:rRNA from 1 species